UAAUACGGGGGGUGCGAGCGUUGUCCGGAAUCACUGGGCGUAAAGGGCGCGUAGGUGGCGUGAUAAGGGUGUGGUGAAAGCCCGGGGCUCAACCCCGGGUCUGCCAUGCCGACUGUCAGGCUAGAGUACUGUAGGGGCAGGCGGAAUUCCGGGUGUAGCGGUGGAAUGCGUAGAGAUCCGGAGGAAGACCGGUGGCGAAGGCGGCCUGCUGGGCAGUUACUGACACUGAGGCGCGACAGCGUGGGGAGCAAACAGGAUUAGAUACCCUGGUAGUCCACGCCGUAAACGAUGGGUACUAGGUGCCUGGGGGAGCGACCCCUUGGGUGCCGGCGCUAACGCAGGAAGUACCCCGCCUGGGGAGUACGGCCGCAAGGCU
rnacentral:rRNA from 1 species